UCAACAGCUCUGGAACUGAAGUUUCCUAUUUAUCCACAGAAUACGUACAGCCUGGGCAGUAGAGUCAAGCUUCCCAAUGCUGCCCAACCACUGGGACUCAGGUUCCAACCACGAGCAGUCUCUCUGCAACAGAGGACUGGUCAGUCUCUAGAACCAUUCAGUUCUUGACAAUA
rnacentral:sRNA from 1 species